rnacentral:rRNA from 1 species
GACGAACGCUGGCGGCGUGCUUAACACAUGCAAGUCGAACGGAAAGGCCCUGCUUGUGGGGUAUACUAGUGGGGAACGGGUGUGUAUCACGUGGGUGAUCUGUCCUGUUCUUUGGGGUAUGACUGGAAAACUGGGUGUAUAAUCGGAUAUAGGAGCUCCUUCUUCAUGGGGUGGGAAAGAUUUUUUGGUGUGGGAUGGGUUCGCGGCCUACUAGUCUGCUGGUUGGGGAAGUGGCUACCAAGGCGGGCACGGGUGGGCGGCCUGCGGGGGUGGACGGCCACAUUGGGGCUGGAGAUCCGCCCAGAACCCUACGGGGGGCAAGAGGUGGGAAUAAUGCACAAUUGGGGGAAGCCUGAUGCAGCGACGCCGCGGGGGGGAAGACGGCCUUCGGGUUGGAAACCCCUUUCGCUAGGGACGAAACUGUUUGUGACGGUACCUAGUUAAGAAGCACCGGCUAACUACGUG